UACGAAGGGGGCUAGCGUUGCUCGGAAUCACUGGGCGUAAAGGGUGCGUAGGCGGGUCUUUAAGUCAGGGGUGAAAUCCUGGAGCUCAACUCCAGAACUGCCUUUGAUACUGAAGAUCUUGAGUUCGGGAGAGGUGAGUGGAACUGCGAGUGUAGAGGUGAAAUUCGUAGAUAUUCGCAAGAACACCAGUGGCGAAGGCGGCUCACUGGCCCGAUACUGACGCUGAGGCACGAAGCGUGGGGAGCAAACAGG
rnacentral:rRNA from 1 species